UACAGAGGGGGCAAGCGUUGUUCGGAAUUACUGGGCGUAAAGGGCGCGUAGGCGGCCUUCUAAGUCGAACGUGAAAUCCCUGGGCUCAACCCAGGAACUGCGUCCGAUACUGGAAGGCUUGAAUCCGGGAGAGGGAUGCGGAAUUCCAGGUGUAGCGGUGAAAUGCGUAGAUAUCUGGAGGAACACCGGUGGCGAAGGCGGCAUCCUGGACCGAUAUUGACGCUGAUGCGCGAAAGCCAGGGGAGCAAACGGG
rnacentral:rRNA from 1 species